AUUGAACGCUGGCGGCAUGCCUUACACAUGCAAGUCGAACGGUAACAGGCCUUCGGAUGCUGACGAGUGGCGAACGGGUGAGUAAUACAUCGGAACGUGCCUAGUAGUGGGGGAUAACUACUCGAAAGAGUGGCUAAUACCGCAUGAGAUCUACGGAUGAAAGCAGGGGAUCGCAAGACCUUGUGCUACUAGAGCGGCCGAUGGCAGAUUAGGUAGUUGGUGGGGUAAAAGCUUACCAAGCCGACGAUCUGUAGCUGGUCCGAGAGGACGAUCCGCCACACGGGGACUGAGACACGGCCCAGACUCCUACGGGAGGCAGCAGUGGGGAAUUUUGGACAAUGGGCGAAAGCCUGAUCCAGCAAUGCCGCGUGCAGGAUGAAGGCCUUCGGGUUGUAAACUGCUUUUGUACGGAACGAAAAGCCCCGGGUUAAUACCCUGGGGUCAUGACGGUACCGUAAGAAUAAGCACCGGCUAACUACGUGCCAGCCGCCGCCGUAA
rnacentral:rRNA from 1 species